UAGCUCUUGAGUCAACAUUAUGUCAGGUAUAUUCCUGCAGGUAACAACUGCAGUAUUCACUUUCUGGUUUUUGGGUGUAUGGCUAAGAUAGUGUGAUUCUGAAGCCAGAAGUUUGGAGUGUGCUUUCUGAUAACCCAGUUUCCAAAAUGUAGCAAAAAUAAUAGUCUGCUGGUAGAUGUUUUUAUAAUCAUUUUGGAAGCCUAACAUGGAACCUCCUACCCAGUCAUUCCAAUAAUUUGUUUCUCUUGCUUGCUCCUGCCAUGUAAGAAGUGCCUUUCGUUUCCGGCCAUGAUUCUGAGGCCUCCCCAGCUGUGUGGAACUAAUAUGGCAGAUAUAACAGCACGUAAUUUCCAAGGCAAGGUCAUAAAAGACAUUGUAGCUUCUGCCUUGUCCCUUCCUCUUGGAUCUCUUGCUAUGGAGUAGCAGCCCCAUGAAGACACCCGUGGUGGAAGAUCACUGAGGACUCCUGCCAACAGCCACCCAGUGACUGAGGCCUCUUGCAGAAAUCCAUAUGAGUGGGCCAGCUGACAAGAAAAUCUUCCAGCUCUAGUCAAGCCUUCAGGUGAGCAAUGAGACUUAUGGAAACAAAUCUGCCUAAUGCCAUUUAGCUAGUAAACACAAAGAGAAGUCCAGAACCUAGCCCUCUUUGACCUCUCUGUCCACACUCUCAGCUACUAGAGGAUGGAGACUGGCAGGAGAAAAGCAGAAGGUUCUGGAGUCCAGAACACCAGCUCUUAGUGCCAGGAACUGCCAGGUAAGAAUUCUGACUACACUGAGGCCACCAUGCUCUGAGGAAGUCAAGCCAGAUGGAAAGAUCACAGCAGGAGAACUGGUCAGCAGUCAUACUCUUGAACUCAUCCCAACCCAGACUCCAGACAUGUGAAUUGACAAGUCUUCAGAUGAUUCCAGCACAAAGCCAUUGAGUCACCUCCAGCCAUUGAGUGUCCCCAGCCGAGACACCAGUCACCAUCAAGCAGAGCCAGUAUGCCUGUUAUGCCUGUCCAAAUUCUUGACCCACUAAAUUCUAUGAAAUUAAUAAAUGGUUGUUUAAGUUACUAAAUUUUAAACUUAAUUUGUUAUGCAGUAAUAGGAAUUGUUCCUGUCUGUGAGCAAGUCCUCAUGGACAAUAAACUCAGAUCUGUCUGUGGAAUCUGGGAGAAAAAGAGACUGUUAUCCUUCCCCAUGGUACAGCCCCAGAAAGAUAAAAGUCUCAGAAUAAAACACUGUACAUGCAUAGCUCAUUUUAUUGGGCUUUGUUUAUUGCAUCUCACAAACGUUACGCUUUUUACAGACUGAAGGUUUGUGGCAACCCUGUGUCUAUUGAGCAAGUCUACCAGCACUAUUUUUCCAACAGUAUGUGCUCGCUUUGUGUCUC
rnacentral:lncRNA from 10 species